rnacentral:pre_miRNA from 1 species
GAUUUCAACUGAAAAAGUCAUCAACAUCAAAGUUGUAUAACUCAUCAAUAUCUAUAACUUUUAUUUUGGUCAUUUCUUCAUUCGGUAAAUGGAUAGUAACAUUGUUCAUAAAAUAAACUAUAUAAGAGAUAUGUACAUUUUGUGAACAAUGUUACAAAUCGCUUUAUCGGAUAAAGAAAUGACCCAAAUAAAAGUUAUAGAUCUUGAGGAGUUAUACAAUUUUGAUGUUGAUAAACUUUUCAGUUGAAAUC